rnacentral:misc_RNA from 1 species
GAAAAAGGGAGGUCGCCCAGAAGGUACAAGAAAUGAAAAUUGCCGCUAUAUCUCAAACACUGGGGCGAGACUCGGUAGAAGUGCUGAGCUCUUCGUCCUGACCUUCGAGGCAACCGAUCCCAGAGACAGAUAUUGCUCUUUCCCCUCAUUGACAGGAAGAACUGCCACCUCCGCCGGUUUCUUCAAGUGUGCAGGGAGGGUUUUCUCAACCUGCUGUGAGGACCCUCUCU